UUCAGUUACAUCGGAAAAAUGAAAAAUAAAAAAGUAAAAACUCAAAACAAUUAAAAACGAUUCAGUUAAAAACCAACUGCCACAUAAUAGAAGAACUUGCGGACCUCGUGGAAUGCCGAGCUGUUUUGAAAAUGACAAAAACAACACAUUUACAUAGCAUUACAUUUGUGAAACACGAACCCGCGCACUGUCAAGGCGACAGACUGUGAAAUCAUACGGUUGUUUUCAGCAUGAGAGAAGAAAAAAGCGUUUCAAAGUUAACUUCAAAACGCACAAAUCCGUAUUCGUCUUCACGGCAAAAAAAAAUGUAUAAAAAUUCAACAAUAUGUUGAAAAAAAUUCCGAAAAGUUACUGCAAUGCAAUUCGAAAUGCAAAUGAAAGUGUAAAAACAUUUAACUCAAUUAUUUGUAAACAUGAAAAUAUCUACAUACAUCUGUAUGUAUGUAAGUAAAGUCACAAAGUAAUUAUCAUAAAUUAAGUAAAUAUAGAAAAAUUACUAGCUAAUUGACUAAAAAAAUGUUUCGGUUUGUCAAAUGUUCGUAAUAAACACUAUUUCAAGUGUACGUAAGUGCGAAAGAUGUGGCAUAGCAAACAAAAAAAAAUUAAUUAACAGAAAUUUAGCAUAAAUGUAAAAUGCACAACAAGUAUUUAUAGCACACAAAAAUUAGGCGAAAUUUUGCAGAACAAAAAUAUCAACUUCAAAUCUUCGGUAACAAAAUCUACAAUAAUCGCAACAAGGUUUAUUUCCAAUAAUUACAAUAAUAUAAACAUCAGAACCCAAAAACAAAACUGCCAACAAGAAUAAAUAUAGAAUUUAUUUCCUUUGAACAUUAGUGUUCACGUUACACAUUCGUUAGCAAAACAAAACAUAAGGAAAUGGAAUAACACAAAAUUAAAAAGAAAAUAAUAUGAAGUAGCAGAAAUUGAAGAUAAGAACAACAUAUUAAAACACAACUCAAAAAGCCGAAAUUCUCCGCCUCAACUUUAAGGAGAUUGUGAGAUAAGUGAAAACCAAACCAACUAAAUUUGAAAACACCAUAAAAUCAUCGGUAAUCGUCGCCAACAAUUGCAAAUACAAAUGCCUAAAUCUACGCUUGCAAUAACCAAAACAACAAAAACUAAAGACACAGAAAGCGAAAAAUCAGCGGAAAAUAUUUCAAAAAAAAUAACAAAAAAUAAAAAUACGAAAACAAUAACAGCAAACAAGUUAGUUAACAAACGCUUUUUAACCGCCACCGCCGCCAUUGACGACUCAGUUGCAACACAACAACAAGUGUACUACAUUGAACGCACACUUGCAACAUUGCCACAUACACGUGGCAAGCAGAGUCGCAGCCGAAGUAAACGAAAGGGGAGCGUUAGGAUAAACGAAAGCUUUGACAACAACAGCAACAACAAAAACCGCAAUCACCACAAAAGCAGCAAUAGACACAUUUGCUGUCGCAGAUAACAAUCCGGGGCAAGCACACACACACAUCGUCAGAGCCCGUCCGCCGAAGGGUACAUAAUAGAACGACGAGCCGAAGGUCGAGGGCGAAGUUUAAAUUAAAGUUGCCUUCAGCACAAUCUUACUUUUUUUUUUUUUUGAUUUUUGGGACGCAAUUAAAACGCUGCUGCAAUUACGACUGCCAACAAACUGCAACAACUACAAUGAAGGCAACAACUCUGCUUACACUAAGCUAGUUACGAUAUCAAUGACACCAACAACAACAUUAAGUGCAGUAACAAGAAUAAUAACAACAGCAACAUCGCUAAUACCGUUUACAACGCAAACAACUUCCGCAUUGUUGUCCGUGGUCAGCUAGAGCUCGACGCAAUUCACAAAACUCCGCCUCAAACUGCCUGUCAUCAUCACCCUCCGCCACCACUCUACUGAAGACCUCAACCAAUUUGAGUCUUCCACGUGCCUCAUCGGGCACAAAAGACGCAGUGGCAUCAACAUUCAGUUGUAAAGGCGCAGUAGCAGUAGCAAUAGAAGAAGAAGAAGGUGAAGAAGAAGCAAUCACGCAACAGCAGCAGCAGCAGCAGCAAGCAGCACAAGGAGCACCCAGGCAGCCACAAAGCGCAGAGGGAAAUGAGAUGAAGUGGUUUCAAGUGGCGUUGGAUAUGUUCCUUGUGCUUUCAUUUAUAACAAGCAGCACAUCGAAUCCCGAUGCUAAGCGCCUCUACGACGAUCUCCUCAGUAACUAUAACAAAUUGGUACGUCCCGUUGUCAAUGUGACUGACGCUGUAACUGUACGCAUCAAAUUGAAGCUAUCACAAUUGAUUGAUGUCAAUUUGAAAAAUCAAAUCAUGACAACCAAUUUGUGGGUGGAACAAACCUGGUAUGAUUACAAACUCCAAUGGGAGCCGAAAGAGUAUGGCGGUGUUGAAAUGUUGCAUGUACCCUCGGAUCAUAUAUGGCGGCCGGAUAUUGUGUUAUAUAAUAAUGCCGAUGGCAAUUUCGAAGUGACGCUGGCCACAAAAGCGACUCUCAACUACACGGGGCGCGUCGAGUGGCGGCCACCGGCGAUUUAUAAGAGCUCCUGCGAAAUCGAUGUCGAGUACUUCCCAUUCGACGAACAGACGUGUGUGAUGAAAUUCGGCAGUUGGACAUAUGAUGGAUUUCAGGUGGAUCUUCGGCAUAUCGACGAACUGAACGGCACAAAUGUUGUUGAAGUAGGUGUGGAUUUAUCAGAAUUUUACACAUCAGUCGAAUGGGACAUAUUGGAAGUUCCUGCAGUGCGCAAUGAAAAAUUCUACACAUGCUGCGAUGAACCUUAUCUGGAUAUAACAUUUAAUAUCACAAUGCGCCGUAAGACGCUCUUCUAUACCGUUAAUCUCAUUAUACCCUGUAUGGGUAUUAGUUUUUUAACAAUAUUAGUUUUUUAUCUGCCAUCGGACAGUGGCGAAAAGGUCUCAUUAAGCAUAUCCAUUUUACUCUCACUGACUGUGUUCUUUUUGUUGUUGGCCGAAAUUAUUCCACCAACAUCGUUAGUUGUGCCACUUUUAGGGAAAUUUGUGCUCUUCACAAUGAUACUGGACACGUUCAGCUUAUUGAAUAAUUCUGCUUGAACUCACCCUUUGUUGGUUCAUCUGCAAUGAAUUCUCUACUCAUGAUUUGCAAUGGAAAAGGUCGUACGCCCAUCAAUUUUGUCCUUUGCUUUGACUAGAGAAUGAAUGAAUGUGUGAAUGAGUGUACCAGGGCAUGCAUGGAGCACGCAGCAAUUUCCGAUACAUGUAAAAGAGAGCAAUGAAAAAAAUCUCUUCGAGUGCAGUACAUCAUCAAUUUCCCCGAAUAUAUGUGUGACGGUGGUAGUGCUCAAUAUACAUUUCCGCUCGCCACAGACGCACACCAUGGCGCCCUGGGUGCGAACGGUGUUCAUCAAUCAACUGCCUCG
rnacentral:misc_RNA from 1 species